rnacentral:rRNA from 1 species
GACGAACGCUGGCGGCGUGCCUAAUACAUGCAAGUAGAACGCUGAAGCGAGGAGCUUGCUCUUCUUGGAUGAGUUGCGAACGGGUGAGUAACGCGUAGGUAACCUGCCUUGUAGCGGGGGAUAACUAUUGGAAACGAUAGCUAAUACCGCAUAACAAUGGAUGACACAUGUCAUUUAUUUGAAAGGGGCAAUUGCUCCACUACAAGAUGGACCUGCGUUGUAUUAGCUAGUAGGUGAGGUAAUGGCUCACCUAGGCGACGAUACAUAGCCGACCGGAGAGGGUGAUCGGCCACACUGGGACGGAGACACGGCCCAGACGGCUACGGGAGGCAGCAGUAGGGAAUCGUCGGCAAUGGGGGCAACCCUGACCGAGAAACGCCGCGGGAGGGAAGAAGGGUUUCGGAUCGGAAAGCUCGGUUGUAAGGCACGAACGGGUGUGAGAGUGGAAAGUUCACACUGUGACGGUAGCGUACCAGAAAGGGACGGCUAACUACGUG